rnacentral:rRNA from 1 species
UGGGGAAUAUUGCACAAUGGGCGCAAGCCUGAUGCAGCGACGCCGCGUGAGGGAUGGAGGCCUUCGGGUUGUAAACCUCUUUCGCCAGUGAAGCAGGCCAUCUUCUUUGUGGGGUGGUUGACGGUAGCUGGAUAAGCAGCGCCGGCUAACUACGUGCCAGCAGCCGCGGUAAUACGUAGGGCGCGAGCGUUGUCCGGAAUUAUUGGGCGUAAAGAGCUCGUAGGCGGCUGGUCGCGUCUGUCGUGAAAUCCCCUGGCUUAACUGGGGGCUUGCGGUGGGUACGGGCCGGCUUGAGUGCGGUAGGGGAGACUGGAAUUCCUGGUGUAGCGGUGGAAUGCGCAGAUAUCAGGAAGAACACCGGUGGCGAAGGCGGGUCUCUGGGCCGUUACUGACGCUGAGGAGCGAAAGCGUGGGGAGCGAACAGG